CAGCCGCCGCGGUAAUACGUAGGGUCCGAGCGUUGUCCGGAAUUAUUGGGCGUAAAGGGCUUGUAGGCGGUUUGUCACGUCGGAAGUGAAAACUCAGGGCUUAACCCUGAGCCUGCUUCCGAUACGGGCAAACUAGAGGAAUGCAGGGGAGAAUGGAAUUCCUGGUGGAGCGGUGGAAUGCGCAGAUAUCAGGAGGAACACCGGUGGCGAAGGCGGUUCUCUGGGCAUUUCCUGACGCUGAGAAGCGAAAGCGUGGGGAGCAAACAGGCUUAGAUACCCUGGUAGUCCACGCCGUAAACGGUGGGCACUAGGUGUGGGGAACAUUCCACGUUCUCCGUGCCGAACUAACGCUUUAAGUGCCCCGCCUGGGGAGUACGGCCGCAGGCUAAAACUCAAGGAAUUGACGG
rnacentral:rRNA from 1 species